rnacentral:lncRNA from 1 species
AAGGACUUAGAAAAGGCCAAGACAACGGUGGUUUCCUACUAACAGAGAGUGUGCUUGCAGUUCUUGCUGGUCUGUCUUCAUCAACGCCUGAAUCCAGGAACACAGCCAUGGACAUGUGGGCACAACUGCCACUGAGUACCAUGCAGCCAUCCUGGAGUACACACCACAAAGGUACUAGAACUGGUAGGAAGGGCAUCCAAAGGCUUAAAGGUAAAGCAUAUUACUCUUUGUCACUUGCAACUUGCUGUUCAUGGUGAUGAAGAAUUGGACUAUCUUAUCAAGAUUACAAUUACUAAUGGUAGUGUCAUUGCAUACAUCCAUAAAUCUCUGAUUAGAAAGA